rnacentral:tRNA from 2 species
GGAAAGGUGGUAGAGUGGUCGAUUACAGUAGUCUUGAAAACUACCGUACCGAGAGGUACCGGGGGUUCGAAUCCCUCCCUUUCCG